rnacentral:rRNA from 1 species
ACAGCAGUAGCCGCGGGAAUACGUAGGUGGCGAGCGUUGUCCGGAAUUAUUGGGCGUAAAGGGAGCGCAGGCGGACAUAUAAGUCCAUCUUAAAAGUGCGGGGCUCAACCCCGUGAGGGGAUGGAAACUGUAUGCCUUGAGUGCAGGAGAGGAAAGCGGAAUUCCCAGUGUAGCGGUGAAAUGCGUAGAUAUUGGGAGGAACACCAGUGGCGAAGGCGGCUUUCUGGACUGUAACUGACGCUGAGGCUCGAAAGCCAGGGGAGCGAACGGGAUUAGAUACCCCUGUAGUCCCUGUCUCUUAUACC